UGAUUAGAAGCUUGCUUCUAUGACGUUAGCGGCGGACGGGUGAGUAACACGUGGGCAACCUGCCUGUAAGACUGGGAUAACUUCGGGAAACCGAAGCUAAUACCGGAUAGGAUCUUCUCCUUCAUGGGAGAUGAUUGAAAGAUGGUUUCGGCUAUCACUUACAGAUGGGCCCGCGGUGCAUUAGCUAGUUGGUGAGGUAACGGCUCACCAAGGCAACGAUGCAUAGCCGACCUGAGAGGGUGAUCGGCCACACUGGGACUGAGACACGGCCCAGACUCCUACGGGAGGCAGCAGUAGGGAAUCUUCCGCAAUGGACGAAAGUCUGACGGAGCAACGCCGCGUGAGUGAUGAAGGCUUUCGGGUCGUAAAACUCUGUUGUUAGGGAAGAACAAGUACNAGAGUAACUGCUCGUACCUUGACGGUACCUAACCAGAAAGCCACGGCUAACUACGUGCCAGCAGCCGCGGUAAUACGUAGGUGGCAAGCGUUAUCCGGAAUUAUUGGGCGUAAAGCGCGCGCAGGCGGUUUCUUAAGUCUGAUGUGAAAGCCCACGGCUCAACCGUGGAGGGUCAUUGGAAACUGGGGAACUUGAGUGCAGAAGAGAAAAGCGGAAUUCCACGUGUAGCGGUGAAAUGCGUAGAGAUGUGGAGGAACACCAGUGGCGAAGGCGGCUUUUUGGUCUGUAACUGACGCUGAGGCGCGAAAGCGUGGGGAGCAAACAG
rnacentral:rRNA from 1 species